GACGAAGGUGGCAAGCGUUGUUCGGAAUCACUGGGCAUAAAGCGCACGUAGGCGGCGGCGUAAGUUGGGUGUGAAAUCCCUCGGCCUAACCGAGGAACUGCGCCCAGUACUGCGUUGCUUGAGGAUCAAAGGGGUGCAUGGAAUUCCCGGUGGAGCGGUGAAAUGCGUUGAUAUCGGGAGGAACUCCGGCGGCGAAAGCGGUGCACUGGUUGAUUUCGUGACGCUG
rnacentral:rRNA from 1 species